rnacentral:telomerase_RNA from 1 species
AAAGUUUACAAGGGAGGUUCGAGACUUGUGGACGGUAUCGUCUGUGGCUAUACAACCCAGACCCAACCCUGAUCUUAUUAGAUCUUAUAAGACUGGCGCUUUCCCGUACGGCCAGUAACAUCAAACAAUCGAACGGGGUCAACUUCGAACCUCCAUUUUGCUCAUUGAAUUAAAGGGGUUUCUGAAAAAGUUCUCGGUCCACCACAUUUCAAAGGAUAAUAAUUACAUAAAAAUAUUAUCCUUUGUUUU